rnacentral:rRNA from 1 species
UGGCGGGACGGGGUGGAGUAAUGUCUGGGAAACUGCCCGAUGGAGGGGGAUAACUACUGGAAACGGUAGCUAAUACCGCAUAACGUCGCAAGACCAAGAGGGGACCGUUCGGGCCUCUUGCCAUCGGAUGUGCCCAGACGGGAUUAGCUAGUAGGUGGGGUAACGGCUCACCUAGGCGACGAUCCCUAGCUGGUCUGAGAGGAUGACCAGCCACACUGGAACUGAGACACGGUCCAG